UGACCUGCGGAAGGAUCAUUACUAGAGCAAAGGAUAGACAGCGCCCGCGGAGCUCGCUCCCGGGGCUACCCUACUCCCGUAGGGUUUAGAGUCGUCGGGCCUCUCGGAGAAGCUCGGUCCUGAACUCCACCCUUGAAUAAACUACCUUUGUUGCUUUGGCGGGCCGCCUCGUGCCAGCGGCUUCGGCUGUUGAGUGCCCGCCAGAGGACCCCAACUCUUGUUUUUAGUGAUGUCUGAGUACUAUAUAAUAGUUAAAACUUUCAACAACGGAUCUCUUGGUUCUGGCAUCGAUGAAGAACGCAGCGAAAUGCGAUAAGUAAUGUGAAUUGCAGAAUUCAGUGAAUCAUCGAAUCUUUGAACGCACAUUGCGCCCUCUGGUAUUCCGGGGGGCAUGCCUGUUCGAGCGUCAUUAUAACCACUCAAGCUCUCGCUUGGUAUUGGGGUUCGCGGUUUCGCGGCCCCUAAAAUCAGUGGCGGUGCCUGUCGGCUCUACGCGUAGUAAUACUCCUCGCGAUUGAGUCCGGUAGGUCUACUUGCCAGCAACCCCUAAUUUUUUUAAGGUUGACCUCGGAUCAGGUAGGGAUACCCGCUGAACUUAAGCAUAUCAAUAAGCGGAGGAAAAGAAACCAACAGGGAUUACCUCAGUAACGGCGAGUGAAGCGGUAACAGCUCAAAUUUGAAAGCUGGCUCUUUUAGGGUCCGCGUUGUAAUUUGUAGAAGAUGCUUCGGGUGUG
rnacentral:rRNA from 1 species